UAACCGAUUGAAGUUUCCUGU
rnacentral:piRNA from 1 species